CUCAAAUAGUCUUUAUAUCAUCGAAAUUUAUACUCAAAAAGCAUGUUGAUGCAGUUUUUUCGAAAGGUAAGUUUUAUUUAGAUAAACAAUAUCGCUUUACAUUUAUCUGUAGUGCACUGUACCACAUCGGAUUUUGGGCAGGAAUACAACUCGGGUACAGUCUAAUAAGGACCGGAUUUUGGCAUAUUGCAUAUUGCCAAGGGAGAUGUUUACUGAGGAUUCCAUGCCAUUAAUGUGCAGGCUGUUGCUGACGCCAGCAUGAGCAAUAUCUGAGCACCAAUGAUGAGGGUCAUCUGCUGGGAGAUAGUGGGUAUCCGUUAAGGACUAACCUGAUGACCCCUUAACCUCAUCCCUCCCAUGCUGCGGAACAGGCCUACAAUGACCAUCAGUGCGAGAUCAACUUACCACACAGUAUUUAAAUGAAAUAUCUGCAUGCCACUGGUGGAUGUUGGCCUUUCAAGUCCAAUUAGUGCUGUGAAAUAUCAACUGUGUACAUGCCCCUGCAUAACCUGUGUCUGGAUUCAAACGCUCCACUGAUAGAGGAAUUGGUUGGAAACGUGAUGGAACCGGAAGUUAUGAACAACACACCAGUACAUCGAGCAGCAUGUGAUAAGAGGCAGCAGCUGAUCAAACUGUUUCAUAAGCAUUAAUAGACAGUGUCCCUCCCGAAAAUCAAGGAAUUAUUACUUGUCAUUCAUUUGUUUAAUGGUAUACAAUAAUUUUAUGGUAGAAUAUUUGAGAAAAACAUUAGAAACGAAACUUGUCAUUGAUGAAAUUUUCCAUAUGUUAAUGGAAAUUACCGAUCGUCAGUUUCCGAAAAACAAUACGUCACGGUUUCCAAAAAUAUGAUGAUUGUGCCGAAAGAUUUUGGUGUUAAUGAAUAUUACUGGUUUAUAUUUUAAUAAUUUCGAUUCUCAUUUGAUUAAUAGGUAAUUUCAAGGCUGAUAAACUUGAAAUAUGCAAAAUAUUCUUUCAUUUUGAAUAUGUCUGUCGAAACAUCUGUACAAUCGGUAAUUUUCGUUACCACUCGUUAAAUGGUAGCAGACACAAGUUUAAAUGAACAAAAAUAUGUUUUACACUAAUAUUCUACCUCUUUCUUGCUAAAAACUAAUGCAUGAAUGAUUUAAAAGUAAUAUUGCAUCGUUUUCAGCCAGGAACACUGUCUAUGGCCCCGAAAAAAAACAUAACAAACUUUUUGAUUUACGAUAUUUACUUUAUAAAUAGCUUGCAUGCGGCAUGGCAUUGCAUGUUCCGCAAAAUAUAUAUCUCGACUUUAUUUAUUGGAUGAUUUCGGACUGUUUCAUCCAAUCAGAAAAUAGCUUUUAAACGUAAUUUAGACCCAUGUUUAGCGAGAUAAUUAAGUACCACUUUUUAUACACUGCUAAAUUGUGACAUAACAAGUUGCCUCCCUUGUUGGUUCAUGCUUCUGUCUUAUUAUGCCCCCCUUCGAAGAAGAGAGGGUAUAUUGUUUUGCACAUGUCAAUCCGUAUGUCCGUCCACCAGAUGGUUUCCGGAUGAUAACUUAAGAAUGCUUUUGCCUAGGAUCAUGAAACUUCAUAGGUACACUGAUCAUGACUCGCAGAUGACCCAUAUUAAUUUUGAGGUCACUAGGUCAAAGAGCAAGGUCAUGGUGACCCGAAAUAGUAAAAUGGUUUCCUGAUGAUAACUCAAUAACACUUAUGCCUAGGAUCAUGAAACUUCAUGUGUACAUUGAUCAUGACUCGCAGAUGACCACUAUUGAUUUUGAGGUCACUAGGUCAAAGGUCACGGUGACCCAAAAUAGUAAAACGGUUUCCGGAUGAUAACUCAAGAACGCUUAUGCCUAGGAUCAUGAAACUUCAUAGGUUCAUUGAUCAUGACUCGCAGAUGAACCCUAUUGAUUUUCGGGUCACUAGGUCAGAGGUCAAGGUCACAGUGACCCCAAAUAGUAAAAUGGUUUCCGGAUGAUAACUCAAGAACGCUUAUGCCUAGGAUCAUGAAACUUCAUAGAUACAUUGAUCAUGACUCGCAGAUGACCCUUUUUGAGGAAACUAGGUCAAAGGUCAAGGUCACGGUGACCCAAAAUAGUUAAAUGGUUCCCGGAUGAUAACUCAAAAAACGCUUAUGCCUAGGAUCAUGAAACUUCAUAAAUACAUUUAUCAUGACUCGCAGAUGAUCCCCAUUGAAUUCAGGUCACUAAGUAAAAGGUCAUGGUCACGGUGACCCGAAAUAGUAAAAUGGUUUGUGGAUGAUAGCUCAACAACGUUUAUGCCUAGGAUCAUGAAACUUCAUAGGUACAUUGAUCAUGAUCAAUGAGAUGACCCCUAAUAAUUUUCAGGUCACUAUGUCAAAGGUCAAGGUCACAGUGACUCAACUUUGAAAAAUGAUUUCCAAAUGUUAACUCAAGAAUGCUUACGCCUAUGAUCAUGAAAUUCUUAUGUACAUUGAUCAUGACUCAAAGAUGACCCCUAUUGACUUUCAGGUCACUAGGUCAAAGGUCACGGUGACUUGACACAGUAAAAUGGUUUCCGGAUGAUAACACAAGAAAGCUUAAGCCUAGGAUCAUGAAACUUCAUAGGUACAUCGAUCAUGACUCGCAGAUGACUCCUAUUGAUGUUCAGGUCAUUAGGUCAAAGGUCAAGGUCACAGUGAGUCAAAACUGUUGAAUGAUUUCCGGAUGAUAACUCAAGAAUGCUUACGUCUAGGAUCAUGAAACUUCAUAGGUACAUUGAUCAUGACUUGCAGAUUACCCCUAUUGAUGUUUAGGUCACUAGGUCAAAGGUCAAGGUCAAAGUGACUCAAAACAGUAAAAUAGUAUCCGGAUGAUAACUCAAAAAUGCUUACGCCUAGGACCAUUAAACUUCAUAGGUACAUUGAUCAUGACUGUUAUAUAACCCUUAUUGAUUUUCGGGUCACUUGGUCAAAGGUCAAGUUCACAGUGACUCAUAACAGUAAAAAGGUUUCCUGAUGAUAACUCAAGAAUAGUAAGGCCUAGGAUCAUGAAACUUCAUAGGUAAAUUGAUCAUGACUGGCAGAUGAUCCCUAUUGAUUUUCAGGUCACUAGGUCAAAGGUCAAGGUCACAGUGACAACAAAUGUUUUCACACAAUGGCUACCACUACUACUGACAGCCCAUAUGGGGGCAUGCCUGUUUUACAAACAGCCCUUGUUUGUCUUAUGUUGGUAAAUGUUCAUUUCUGUCAAUUCUAGGUUAAGUUUGAAAGUAGGUCAUAUGUGGUCCAAACUAGGUCAACAAACCAAAUCACAGAAAAGGUUAGUGAACACUCCAGAGGUAAAAUUUUCUUCCAGAUCUUGAUGAAAAUUGGACAGAAUGUUAUCUCGAUGAAAUAAAGCAUAAGUUUGAAAGUUGGUAGUUUGUCAAAAACUAGGUCAUUAGGUCAAAAUAUAGAAAACUUCCUUUACCUUUCUACAGGUCACAUUAUCUUCCUGAUUUUCAUGACAAUUGCUUACAAUGUCCAUCUUAAUCAAAUCAAAAGCUGAAUUUGCAAGUUGGUCCUGGCAGGCUAAAGCUAGGUUACAACUAAGUCAAAUUAUACACAAGUUUUUGACACUAUAGAAGGAGUUUGGGGUGAGCGAUACAGGGCUAUCUUGUUUUAGAACAGCCUAUAGUAAGAAAGGGAAGGUAUUGUAUUUGUUUCAAAAGUAACAUUUUAUUGUUAUUGGAAGUAACUGGGCAAUUAUAUGGUGUCAUAGUUUUGGUUAUUUUGCUCACUUGUUAUGAUGUGACAAGGUGAGCUUUUGUUAUCACUCUUUGUUGUAUUUUAUCCAAAGUUUAUUGUGAACACAUAAGAUAUCAUUUUACAAUGUUUAAAUUUGGGUGUCACCUUUUUACCAGAUUCUUAUGAAACUAGUCACCUCUAUGUCAUUUUGGGUUUCAUAUUCUAUCAAAAAUUAGGGAACAAAGUCAAAUAUGAGAAAAGGUCUGUUAAUACUUUAGUUGUCACAUUCUCUCUCUGAUCCACUUGUAAAUUGGUUAGAACAUUAUUUUAAAUGAUUUCAAAGUCAAGCUUGAAAGUAGCAUAUUCAACAUUUAGGUUACAAGGUCUAGUCUCAGUGAUUAACAGGUCACGUUCCAAAGUGGGUCAUGUGCUUCCAAGCAUUUGAUCAAUAACUAAAAUCAUUAAAAUCUAUGUUAACACUUACAUUUUUUACCUGAUCUUCAUGGCAGUUGAUCAGAAUGUUCAAAUAAAUAAAAGUAGGAACUCGGUAACAAGGCUCAACUAGAUCGGAUAGACGCAAAUAGUUUGUUCAUACUCACAAUGCCUUUUAUUUCUAGAUCAUCAUGAAGAAAGGAAACAAUCAGUUUCAGAUGAGCCACAUUGUGCUGUUAAAGCUAUCUAUGUAUAGUAUAGAUUGUUACAAAACCUUGUUUAUCAAUAAAAAUAAAUGAA